AUGCUUCGUGAUGACCGUCUGCCCCACAGAGAUGCCCUUCUCGCCAGCCUUGGACUUCUGACAGAAGAGGUACACAAAGAUGAGAGAAAAGAAACAGGAGAAAGGGAAAAGGAGAAAUAGCCAUAGGAACAAUGGAAGAAGAACCAGCCAACAGCUUUCUACCACCCCUCAUGACAGCAGAAGCACAGAAUUUGCCUGGCCAUCGCACCAGUGUUAAAAUCUUCCCAUUGUUAAUCAAGAAAAUGAACAUCCAUCUAUCAACCUA